rnacentral:rRNA from 1 species
UACGUAGGGUGCGAGCGUUAAUCGGAAUUACUGGGCGUAAAGCGUGCGCAGGCGGUUCGUUGUGUCGGCGGUGAAAGCCCCGGGCUCAACCUGGGAAUGGCCGUUGAAACUGGCGAACUGGAGUGUGGCAGAGGGGGGUGGGAUUCCGCGUGUAGCAGUGAAAUGCGUAGAGAUGCGGAGGAACACCGAUGGCGAAGGCAGCCCCCUGGGCUGACACUGACGCUCAGGCACGAAAGCGUGGGGAGCAAACAGG